rnacentral:tRNA from 1 species
GUGGGUGUCCUGACGGACAGGCAACGGUCUACGAAGCCGUUUGAUGUAGGUUCGAGUCCUUCCAUCCACA